UACGUAGGGGGCAAGCGUUGUCCGGAUUUAUUGGGCGUAAAGAGCUCGUAGGCGGCUCGGUAAGUCGGAUGUGAAACCUCCAGGCUCAACCUGGAGACGCCAUCUGAUACUGCCGUGGCUUGAGUCCGGUAGAGGAGCAGGGAAUUCCAGGUGUAGCGGUGAAAUGCGUAGAUAUCUGGAGGAACACCGGUGGCGAAGGCGGCAUCCUGGACCGGUAUUGACGCUGAGGCGCGAAAGCCAGGGGAGCAAACGGG
rnacentral:rRNA from 1 species